CCCGGCCGUAGUCGGGCAGGUCGGGCCGGACGCGCCGGGUGGGCAGGUCGAGCGGGUCGGGCGCGUCGGGUCGUACCCGACGGGUGGGC
rnacentral:tRNA from 1 species